rnacentral:rRNA from 1 species
GAUGAACGCUGGCGGCGUGCCUAAUACAUGCAAGUCGAGCGAACGGACGAGAAGCUUGCUUCUCUGAUGUUAGCGGCGGACGGGUGAGUAACACGUGGAUAACCUACCUAUAAGACUGGGAUAACUUCGGGAAACCGGAGCUAAUACCGGAUAAUAUUUUGAACCGCAUGGUUCAAACGUGAAAGACGGUCUUGCUGUCACUUAUAGAUGGAUCCGCGCUGCAUUAGCUAGUUGGUAAGGUAACGGCUUACCAAGGCAACGAUGCAUAGCCGACCUGGGGGGGGGCAUCGCCACCACGGAAAGGAAACACGGUCCAAACCCCCAGGGGGGGCAGCAGGAGGGAAUCCUCCGAAAGGGGGGAAACCCUGAGCGACCCACGCCGGGGGAAGGAAGAAGGUCUUCGGUUCGUAAAACUUUGUUAUUAGGAAAAAACAUAUUUGUAAGAAACUGUGCACAUCUGGACGGUACCAAAAAAGAAAGCCCCGCUUAACUACGG